UGGGGAAUUUUGCACAAUGGGGGAAACCCUGAUGCAGCGACGCCGCGUGAUUUAGAAGGCCUUCGGGUUGUAAAAAUCUUUUCUAUGGGAAGAAAAUGACAGUACCAUAGGAAUAAGGACCGGCUAAUUACGUGCCAGCAGCCGCGGUAAUACGUAAGGUCCGAGCGUUGUCCGGAAUCAUUGGGCGUAAAGGGUACGUAGGCGGGUAAGCAAGUUAGAAGUGAAAUCCUAUAGCUCAACUAUAGUAAGCUUUUAAAACUGCUCAUCUUGAGGUAUGGAAGGGAAGGUGGAAUUCCUAGUGUAGCGGUGAAAUGCGCAGAUAUUAGGAGGAAUACCGGUGGCGAAGGCGACUUUCUGGCCAUAACCUGACGCUGAGGUACGAAAGCGUGGGUAGCAAACAGG
rnacentral:rRNA from 2 species